UACGUAGGGUGCGAGCGUUGUCCGGAAUUAUUGGGCGUAAAGAGCUCGUAGGUGGUUUGUCGCGUUGUUCGUGAAAACUCACAGCUCAACUGUGGGCGUGCGGGCGAUACGGGCAGACUAGAGUACUGCAGGGGAGACUGGAAUUCCUGGUGUAGCGGUGAAAUGCGCAGAUAUCAGGAGGAACACCGGUGGCGAAGGCGGGUCUCUGGGCCGAUACUGACGCUGAGGAGCGAAAGCGUGGGGAGCGAACAGG
rnacentral:rRNA from 1 species